rfam:Acidobacteria bacterium 13_1_40CM_2_60_7 13_1_40cm_2_scaffold_462, whole genome shotgun sequence.
UGCGGGGUGGAGCAGUCUGGUAGCUCGUCGGGCUCAUAACCCGAAGGUCGUUGGUUCAAAUCCAACCCCCGCAA